GUAUUGUAUUGCGUUAAACGCAUGAUGCAUUCCGUGAAACUUUAUUACAGUGUGUGUGUAAAGACGUAGAACCACGGCGAAAGGGACGUAGCCCCCCAGGCCAUAGAACCACAGUGGGUGCACAGGUGUGAGUGGAUGUGUAAACAGAGCGUGCACGUGCCCCCAGUUGAGGACCAGCAACAACCCAUGUUGACAAUUCGGUAAUGAUCCUUCCGCAGGUUCACCUACGGAAA
rnacentral:misc_RNA from 1 species